rnacentral:lncRNA from 1 species
AUAGAGGGGAAUUUGGUAAUAUCUAGCAAACCUGAGAAUGCAUUUACCUUUUGAGCAAGAAAUCCUGCUUCUAGGAAUCUCCCAAAGCUAUACUGGUAAAAAUACAAGUGUUUCAUGUGUAGAUUAUUAACACAGACAAUAAUAUGCCUGUCAGUGCCAUUUUUGUUUAAUAUGCCAGUAAAUACUAAGGGAAUUUUAUAACCAUAUAUGCAAUAUUUCAAAGCACACGAAAUCCCUAUGAAAGUUUUAGUGACGCAUAGUUAUUUCCAGACGUGUUGCCACUAGGCUAGAAGAUCAAGCCAUGCCUUGAAUUUAUAAUAUGAAAAAGGCCACAGAAGCUGUAUGUAAAACAUACUUUCAUGAAAACCUAUUAAAACUAUAUUUUAGUUUUGUUAAAUACAUCUCCAUGUUCUUGGAUUAUGGCAGUGAUUGUAACCUAGAAAACGACGUCUGAAACCAUGCUACACUUCUAAGUCACUUUUCUGACCCAAUCAUUUUUAUUCAGUAUGUUAAACUUAGUUUAUCCAUAGAUCUAUU